AGGUUUUGGGAAAACCUGCUUCAGCUGUGGGGCUACAGAAGGCAGGACCCAGGGAUGGUCUCCACCAUGGUCUGGUCCCCUCUCCUGCUCACCCUCUUGUCUCACUGCACAGGAUCCUGGGCCCAGUCUGUGGUCACUCAGCCACCCUCAGUGUCUGGGAACCCAGGAGAGAGGGUCACCAUCUCCUGCCUUGGAAGCAGCUCCAACAUUGGGCGUAAUUAUGUGAACUGGUACCAACAGCUCCCAGAAAAGCCCCCCAAACUCCUCAUCUAUAGUAAUAGCAAUCGAUACUCAGGGGUCCCUGAUCGAUUCUCUGGCUCCAAGUCUGGCAGCUCAGCCACCCUGACCAUCACUGGGCUCCAGGCUGAGGAUGAGGCUACUUAUUUCUGUGGAGCAUGGGACAGCAGUGCCAGUGGUCUCACAGUGCUGCAGGCCUGUGGGGAAGUGAGACAAGAACCCCUGUGGCAUCUGUGAGCUGGGUGAACACUG